GACCAGUCCUCCUAUGAAUAUAACUCAAUCGUCCUCUACCCACCUUCUCACCAGGCACGGAGAGUUCAAGAGUCGGGCCGGGCGCAGUGGCUCACUCCUGUAAUCCCAGCACUUUGGGAGGGCGAGGCUGGUGGAUCACCUGAGGUUGGGAGUUCGAGACCAGCAUGGCCAACGUGGCGAAAACCCAUCUCUACUAAAAAUACAAAAAUGAGUCACGCAUGGUUGCAGAUACCUAUAAUCCCAGCGACUUGCGAGGCUGAGGCAGGAGAAUCACUUGAACCUGGGGAGCGGAGGUUGAGCCUGCCACCUGGAGGCCUCGUCUGGAUAAGAAGAAGCUUGGUCUCCACAACCCCUUGUCUUAACCCAGACACUCCUUUCUACUGAUUCCAGCUCUUUAGAUAAUAACUGGACUCUUUCAACCAACUGCCAAUCAGAAAAUCUUCAAAUCCACUUCUUCUGCCCCUGCCAAUUGCUAUCCCAUCAGUAAAAUAGAACAUGCAGACGCUGGCUAAGUUUCACUGUGGCUGGGUAGCAAACUCACUCGCAUCACAGUCUCAUGGAUGAAACACACGUGACUUCUCAGUUUCUCGACAAGUGAUCGCAUCUCACUCCUGAGCCUGAACCUGCCAGCGCUAGGAAUGGGGCAGGACUGCGAAUCAAGAUUUUGUUCAACCGAAUUUAUUAAUUUAAAAUCUCUUCUUCAGUAAGUGCUCCGUUUCCUCAAUGCUUGGUUGCCCACAUUGCCUCUCUCUCCUCUUUCCACCAUUUCUCAGCACAAAGGGAACAGAACAACAGUUUGCUCCCCUCCCAUCCAUUGCAUCCUCCUCCUGCUCUACAGCAGCGGGGGUCUCCUGGCCAUGCCCUCCAGGCACAAAGACAGCCCACCUCCCAUCCUGGACCAAUCGUGUGAUCACAGACCUCCAGGCUGAGUUCCGCAUAUGCUUAAGAGAUUCAUAAAAUUCUCUCUUCUCUCUCUCUCUCUUCCUCACUUUUGCUCACUCUUAUUCUUUCACUUAUCCUUGCUCUCAUCCUCUCUCCAAAGUCUAGCCUGUGGUCUUACUGUCUUGCUGCAGACAGCAACAAAAAUCAGGUUUGACUGUCCCAGCAUAUACCUGUAAACUGGAAGAGCAGGAAGCCACUUUUCCCUUGCAGGGGAGGGAAGACAACCCCCCUGCUCUCUGAAGGUUUGAUAACUGAGUCUAUGAAAUACGCAGACAGUAGGCAGAUGAGUGGGAGAAAAGGCAAACACAUGUAUUAUAUGCACAGGGGCAGCCCAGGGAAGAAAAGUGAGUGCCCAAACCCAGUGUGGUCUGGAAGCCCACAAACCUCUUCCCAGGGAAAGAGGGGAGGUGCGGGAAGCCUGGGGUGAGAGAAUGACCUGGGGGAAGGUGAAUGGGUGAUGCCUGUGACUGAGUCUGCCUGGAUGUCCUGUGGACCCCAAGUCUCUCCUGGAUAAUCCUCCCAGGUUGAUGAGAUUCCCAGGGAGGAGAUGCAUGACAAUUGAGCUCCUGUUGGAGAGUUGGGUUUUUAGGCAGAUAGGCAGGUUCAGAGAAAGCCCCUCCCUGCAUUGCUGCUCCUCCAGUGCCCUCCAUUUGAAGCAAUCAGUAUAUUUUGCGGUCGCAUUUCCUGAACCCUUUUACUCUUGGAGCACUGCAACCCACAGCUUCAAUGACUGGGACACCCAGAGCAUGAAGAUUUACGGGAAAUGGAAAAAUAUGCCUUCAAGUACAUCUCAAAAGACACUGUGCUCAUUAUGAACCAUCUACAAUAUGAAGGGAGAUGAGCAUAAGGAGUUUUCUUUUUCCUCCCCUUCCUCCUUCGUGAAUAGCCUCAAAUUUCAUUAAAAAAUGUCUGAGAGAUGUGUUUAUCCAAAUGACACAGCUGUAGGAGGGGAGGUCAUUAGGAAGAAGUUCCAUGGAAAAGAGGAAAAUGAAGGUUGAUUGUUACCAAUAAAUUAG
rnacentral:lncRNA from 1 species